rnacentral:rRNA from 1 species
CAGCCGCCGCGGGAAUACGGAGGGUGCAAGCGUUAAUCGGAAUUACUGGGCGUAAAGCGCACGCAGGCGGUCUGUCAAGUCAGAUGUGAAAUCCCCGGGCUUAACCUGGGAACUGCAUCCAAAACUGGCAAGCUAGAGUAUGGUAGAGGGUGGUGGAAUUUCCUGUGUAGCGGUGAAAUGCGUAGAUAUAGGAAGGAACACCAGUGGCGAAGGCGACCACCUGGACUGAUACUGACACUGAGGUGCGAAAGCGUGGGGAGCAAACAGGAUUAGAUACCCCAGUAGUCCCUGUCUCUUAUAA